AUUGAACGCUGGCGGCAUGCCUUACACAUGCAAGUCGAACGGCAGCACGGGUGCUUGCACCUGGUGGCGAGUGGCGAACGGGUGAGUAAAGUAUCGGAACGUGCCUGGUAGUGGGGGAUAACUAGUCGAAAGACUAGCUAAUACCGCAUACGAUCUAAGGAUGAAAGCAGGGGACCUUCGGGCCUUGUGCUAUCAGAGCGGCCGAUAUCUGAUUAGCUAGUUGGUGGGGUAAAAGCCCACCAAGGCGACGAUCAGUAGCUGGUCUGAGAGGACGACCAGCCACACUGGAACUGAGACACGGUCCAGACUCCUACGGGAGGCAGCAGUGGGGAAUUUUGGACAAUGGGGGCAACCCUGAUCCAGCAAUGCCGCGUGAGUGAAGAAGGCCCUCGGGUUGUAAAGCUCUUUUGUCAGGGAAGAAAAGGCUGUGGCUAAUAUCCACAGCUGCUGACGGUACCUGAAGAAUAAGCACCGGCUAACUACGUGCCAGCAGCCGCCGCCG
rnacentral:rRNA from 1 species